rnacentral:rRNA from 1 species
UACGUAGGUGGCAAGCGUUAUCCGGAUUCACUGGGCGUAAAGAGCGCGUAGGUGGUCCUUCAAGUCAGAUGUGAAAUCUCCCGGCUUAACUGGGAGCUGUCAUCUGAUACUGCUGGACUUGAGGAUGGUAGAGGGAGGUGGAAUUCCCGGUGUAGUGGUGAAAUGCGUAGAUAUCGGGAGGAACACCAGUGGCGAAAGCGGCCUCCUAGGCCACACCUGACACUGAGGCGCGAAAGCGUGGGGAG